rnacentral:rRNA from 1 species
GUGUUGUUCGUAAGGGCGCACGGUGGAUGCCUUGGCAUGGAAGGCCGAUGAAGGACGUGAGAGGCCGCGAUAGGCCUCGGGGAGCUGCCAACUGAGCGUUGAUCCGAGGGUGUCCGAAUGGGGAAACCCGG